AGUGAAUCAGUCACGUGUUGCUGCUGAGUAUGGGGAAGCUCCAACCAUUCAUGAAAUUAAAUCCUGUCAUUCAAGUUCCACAUCUCACGCCAGCUACUCUCUGAUGCUUUCCCCAACUUCUUCAGCAGCAGGACAAUCAAUGUCUACACCAAAGAAGCAUUCCUGAUUACCCUGAAUAAUGUGCAUAAUUCAAGACUAAUUUUCCCAUGUGAACCAAAGAGAUGACAAGUACUUCUACUUAUCAGUUAAAGUGGGACUACCACAUGGUAAUAACAUAAAGAGAAUUUAUAAUUUACUUCAUCUUCAUACCUUGAAAAUAUGUAAUGGCUAACAAAUUUUAAACAUUAUGAGAGAGAUAUCUUAUUUUGAAAACUAUGCAUAAAAAGACGCUUGGAAUACCUCUGUUUGUUCAUAACCAGCUGAGCUAUGAUCUAACUGAAGAAUAUUCAGGAUUAUAAGCAUAAGAGCAGGAAAACGGAGGAAUUUUAGAGGAAAGACCUGAAAAGGAAUCCAAAUACAUCUCAAGAAAUUUAAAAAUUUCUGUCUUUACUGAAUGUUUACCUUCAAGAAUUUACAAAAAAGAACAUACAAAAUAUAUUAGUGGGACUGUAGAAAGAGGACAAUGCGUUAAUCAUGAAGAUGUGAGAUAAAUAAAAUAGUGGCUGUUUUCUACUCUGAACAAAAGCCUUACUAUUUUAAAGGCAAAGACCAAUGGGUGAAACUGCUGUGGGUGAGAUUGUGCAGAAUGAAGAAGCAUCCAUUACAAGCUCCAGAAUGAAUAUCCAUCAUGACAGUGAUGCAUAAAGAAGAAAUCAAUGCAAGGGUGUAGUUUGUUCACACAUAGUAGGAAAAGCUGGAUAGAAUGCUUCCCAGGCAUAUUUAAAGUCUACAGC
rnacentral:lncRNA from 1 species